rnacentral:rRNA from 1 species
GAUGAACGCUGGCGGCGUGCCUAAUACAUGCAAGUCGAGCGAACGGACGAGAAGCUUGCUUCUCUGAUGUUAGCGGCGGACGGGUGAGUAACACGUGGAUAACCUACCUAUAAGACUGGGAUAACUUCGGGAAACCGGAGCUAAUACCGGAUAAUAUUUUGAACCGCAUGGUUCAAAAGUGAAAGACGGUCUUGCUGUCACUUAUAGAUGGAUCCGCGCUGCAUUAGCUAGUUGGUAAGGUAACGGCUUACCAAGGCAACGAUGCAUAGCCGACCUGAGAGGGUGAUCGGCCACACUGGAACUGAGACACGGUCCAGACUCCUACGGGAAGCAGCAGUAGGGAAUCUUCCACAAUGGGCGAAGGCCUGACGGAGCAACGCCGCGUGAGUGAUGAAGGGCUUCGGAUCGUAAAACUCUGUUAUUAGGGAAAAACAUAUGUGUAAGUAACUGUGCACGUAUUGACAGUACCUAAUCAGAAAGCCACGGCUAACUACGUG